rnacentral:rRNA from 1 species
UACGUAGGUGGCAAGCGUUGUCCGGAAUUAUUGGGCGUAAAGGGCUCGCAGGCGGUUUCUUAAGUCUGAUGUGAAAGCCCCCGGCUCAACCGGGGAGGGUCAUUGGAAACUGGGAAACUUGAGUGCAGAAGAGGAGAGUGGAAUUCCACGUGUAGCGGUGAAAUGCGUAGAGAUGUGGAGGAACACCAGUGGCGAAGGCGACUCUCUGGUCUGUAACUGACGCUGAGGAGCGAAAGCGUGGGGAGCGAACAGGA